UACGUAGGGUGCGAGCGUUAAUCGGAAUUACUGGGCGUAAAGCGUGCGCAGGCGGUUUUGUAAGCCAGAUGUGAAAUCCCCGGGCUUAACCUGGGAAUGGCAUUUGGGACUGCAAGGCUUGAGUGCGGCAGAGGAGACUGGAAUUCCUGGUGUAGCAGUGAAAUGCGUAGAUAUCGAGAGGAACACCUGCGGCGAAGGCGGGUUGCUGGGCUGACACUGACGCUGAUUGUGCGAAAGCUAGGGGAGCGAACGGG
rnacentral:rRNA from 1 species